rnacentral:rRNA from 1 species
CCUACGGGCGGCAGCAGUGGGGAAUAUUGGACAAUGGGCGAAAGCCUGAUCCAGCCAUGCCGCGUGUGUGAAGAAGGCCUUCGGGUUGUAAAGCACUUUCAGUGGGGAAGAAAGCCUUGGGGCUAAUACCCUCGAGGAAGGACAUCACCCACAGAAGAAGCACCGGCUAACUCCGUGCCAGCAGCCGCGGUAAUACGGAGGGUGCGAGCGUUAAUCGGAAUUACUGGGCGUAAAGCGCGCGUAGGCGGUCUGAUAAGCCGGUUGUGAAAGCCCCGGGCUCAACCUGGGAACGGCAUCCGGAACUGUCAGGCUAGAGUGCAGGAGAGGAAGGUAGAAUUCCCGGUGUAGCGGUGAAAUGCGUAGAGAUCGGGAGGAAUACCAGUGGCGAAGGCGGCCUUCUGGACUGACACUGACGAUGAGGUGCGAAAGCGUGGGUAGCAAACAGGAUUAGAUACCCGAGUAGUC